AGUGAGGUGGCCGAGUGGUUUAAGGCGCACGCUUGGAAAGCGUGUGUACGUUAAUAGCGUACCGUGGGUUCGAAUCCCAUCCUCACUGCCA
rnacentral:tRNA from 2 species